rnacentral:rRNA from 1 species
UACGUAGGGCGCAAGCGUUGUUCGGAAUCAUUGGGCGUAAAGGGCGCGUAGGCGGCCGAUCAAGUCGGAGGUGAAAUCCCUCGGCUCAACUGAGGAACUGCCUUCGAUACUGUUCGGCUUGAGUCCUGGAGAGGGUAGCGGAAUUCCCGGUGUAGCGGUGAAAUGCGUAGAGACCGGGAAGAACACCAGUGGCGAAGGCGGCUACCUGGACAGGUACUGACGCUGAAGCGCGAAAGCUAGGGGAGCAAACAGG